AACGGGUUGUAAGGGUAAAUGAGGAUGCGAUGGGUUGGAGGAGUAGUAGGAAGAGGUUACAAUGGGUUGGAGGAGUAGUUGGAAGAGGUUGUAAGGGUAAAUGAGGAUGCAAUGGGUUGGAGGAGUAGUUGCAACAGGUUGCAAUGGGUUGGAGGAGUAGUUGGAGGAGGUUACAAUGGGUUGGAGGAGUAGUUGUAACAGGUUGUAAGGGUAAAUGAGGAUGUGAUGGGUUGGAGGAGUAGUUGGAAGAGGUUGCGAUGGGUUGGAGGAGUAGUUGCAAUGGGUUGUAAGGGUAAAUGUGGUUGCAAUGGGUUGUAGGAGUAGUUGGAAGAGUUUGUAAGGGUAAAUGUGGUUACAAUGGGUUGGAGGAGUAGUUGGAGAAGGUUACAAUGGGUUGGAGGAGUAGUUGCAACAGGUUGUAAGGGUAAAUGUGGUUGCAAUGGGUUGUAGGAGUAGUUGGAAGAGGUUACAAUGGGUUGGAGGA